rnacentral:rRNA from 1 species
AACGAACGCUGGCGGCAUGCCUAACACAUGCAAGUCGAACGAGACCUUCGGGUCUAGUGGCGCACGGGUGCGUAACGCGUGGGAACCUGCCCUUAGGUUCGGAAUAACUCCCCGAAAGGGGUGCUAAUACCGGAUAAUGUCUUCGGACCAAAGAUUUAUCGCCUUUGGAUGGGCCCGCGUUGGAUUAGCUAGUUGGUAGGGUAAAAGCCUACCAAGGCGACGAUCCAUAGCUGGUCUGUGAGGAUGAUCCGCCACACUGGGACUGAGACACGGCCCAGACUCCUACGGGAGGCAGCAGUGGGGAAUACUGGACAAUGGGCGAAAGCCUGAUCCAGCUCUGCCGCUUGAGUGAUGAAGGCCUUAGGGUUGUAAAGCUCUUUUACCCGGGAUGAUAAUGACAGUACCGGGAGAAUAAGCUCCGGCUAACUCCGUG